rnacentral:rRNA from 1 species
CUACGGGUGGCAGCAGUGGGGAAUUUUGGACAAUGGGCGCAAGCCUGAUCCAGCCAUUCCGCGUGAGUGAAGAAGGCCUUCGGGUUGUAAAGCUCUUUCGCAAGGGAAGAAAACUUAUCCUCUAACAUAGGGUGAGGUUGACGGUACCUUGAUAAGAAGCACCGGCUAACUACGUGCCAGCAGCCGCGGUAAUACGUAGGGUGCGAGCGUUAAUCGGAAUUACUGGGCGUAAAGCGUGCGCAGGCUGUUUUGUAAGUCAGAUGUGAAAUCCCCGAGCUCAACUUGGGAACUGCGUUUGAAACUACAAGACUAGAAUAUGGCAGAGGGGGGUAGAAUUCCAUGUGUAGCAGUGAAAUGCGUAGAGAUGUGGAGGAAUACCAAUGGCGAAGGCAGCCCCCUGGGAUAAUAUUGACGCUCAUGCACGAAAGCGUGGGGAGCAAACAGGAUUAGAUACCCCUAGUAGUC